rnacentral:rRNA from 1 species
GAUAAACGCUGGCGGCGUGCCUAAUACAUGCAAGUCGAACGGAGGUAUGUAGCAAUACGUGCCUUAGUGGCGAAUGGGUGAGUAACGCGUUGGUGACCUGCCCCGAAGUGGGGGAUAACAGUUCGAAAGGACUGCUAAUACCUCAUGAUAUCAAUUGGAUUAGAUACCUUUUGAUCAAAGGCGUAAGCCGCUUCGGGAGGGCCUGCGUCCCAUCAGCUAGUUGGUAAGGUAACGGCUUACCAAGGCUAUGACGGGUAGGGGACCUGAGAGGGUGACCCCCCACAAUGGAACUGAAACACGGUCCAUACACCUACGGGAGGUG